CAAACUGAAACUUCAAAUAACAAAUGGGUCUUGAUUUUUGCAAUUUAUCAUGGGAUUGUACCUGUUGUUCAGGCUAGGACUGUUUAUCAAAUCUCUGGGACUCUCAUAGAGACUGAUUAAAAACAAGCUUGAUAAUUAUCAGAUUUACUGCGCUCUCACAUGAUGUCCUCCUUUCCUAAUUCGCUUAAUUAAAUGAGUUGAAUUUUAUAUCCUAUUUCAAUUCCAUGAAAAUUGUGUGCUGUCAUUCCUGUGAACUGCGUGUCACUCGGGGACAUUUCUAAUAACACAAACGAGCUGUUCAUCUGUUUAACUUCUCAGUCAAUUUGCUAAAUUGGAGAGAAUUACUCAUAACAGUGUAUGAGAUCUAUUUCCUUGAAACAUGCAUAUCUUUAAAUUUGAUCAUCCUAAUUCCUGUCCAAAGUAGCUUAUUUUGGUUGCUUGUCAUGGAAAGUGUCUACUUACGACAACUGUACUAAAUUUUGUCUACCCAUUUUCCGUCCUUUAGCAGGUUCACCUUCCGCAGUUGGUUACCCAGCAGCCAAAUCCUCUGCCUUCUCCGGUUCUUUGGUCUCCUUGUGUUUUCCAGUCACCACCCUCAGGGUUCCCUCUGCUCCAGGGUCAUGCCAGCUCCCCUCCUCCAGCAGUUUCUUUACCACCUAUCCGGGCAUAUCGUCCCAUCAUUCUCAACAAGUCUGAGCUCCAAGAUACACUGAUACAUCUAUUAAAGAACGAUUCCAGCUUUCUCAAUACGCUGCAUGAAGUCUAUCUGCAAAUUCUGUCCAAGAGUCUGAGUAACGUCAAACUGUAAUUGGAUCUAAAUGUUAUUGAAAGUAUACCCAUUUCAAAAGCCAGUGUGCCUCCCUCAAUAACAUAUUUUCAUGUUUUAAGGCAAUUCUUUGUUAUGAAAGUUUUGAAAUUGAAUCUUAAUGUUUUGAGUAAUACUCUCAGAAAUGCAUUUCACUGGUGAAGUUUCACCAGCAAAUAUUUGUUUUAAUGAAAAAAGUGAACAUUUGUUUUGAAUUUCAUUUGUAUCUGCAUGAAGAAAGUAUGCAAAAUGCAGUUUUAAUUUCUCAUUUUCAAUAGUUCAGGAAAAGCAGUGCCCAGUCUUUCCGGAAAGUAAAUGAGGAAAAUGCAGAAAUUCUCCUGGAAGGAAACUGCUCACCAUUGCUAAGAAAAGAAAGUGGUCAUUUACUUCCAAGAGAGACAAAUUUUAUUCAUUGUGAACCUUAGAAUUUGACCCAAUAUUUGUACUCUGAUCAAAAUUUAGCUGGGUGCAAAAGAGCUUCCAGUUUUUGAAGACCAAGGCUUGAGCUGGAAAGCAAUCCGAGACUCAGAACUCAAAGUUCUGACAUCUCAUGGUAAGAAUUGGGUUUAGGAUUGCAAAAUUGCCUUCCCCAUUCCAUCGCAAAGCCUGUUUUAUAGUAUGCCACAUUUUGCAGCAUUCUGCCUGGCACCCAACUCUAGGUGAAUCCCAGUUUGGGUAAAGCCAAAACUCUGUUAGGUGAGGAGAAAAUAUGUUUCUUUUUACAUGUGAAGGGUACUGUGGCAUAAUCUAAUGUUUUUUCUCCUAUGUGAAAAAGUAAAAGUUAAAGUAAAAAAAAAAAGGUUAAAAAAAGUUUUAAAAAAGUGAAAGUUUUAAAAAAUUUUGUUCCUUGACACUGUAACAAAAGGCCAGUGGAAUAAUACCUCAUAUUUGUUCUACAUUCAGCAGUUGUGCUGAUAGUAAUGUAUUUCAAGCCAUGAAGAAAAGGAUUAAUUUGUUAACCUUUUGCCUCAUUUGUUAGUGUUAGUGUUCAGAAAUUUGAAACUUUUCAUUAAGUUUUGCCAGUCUGUUCAUUAGGUUAAUAUGUCUCCAUUUCCAGACAGAAGUGGGGAAAUAAUGUGGUCCUAUUGGCCUGUUAUGAUUUGCUUAUUAUUUUAGGACUUAUUGUGUUUAGUAUUGUUUUUAGUUAAAAUAAUUUCUAUUUACUUUAUGUUAUCUUGUGAUAUUUAGCCCAUUGAGAUAGUGCAUCGUUUACAUUGUGGAGGCACUAUAAGAAUGAAUAAAAUAGGUAAAAUUGACUCUACCAAGCAGCAUAAGGAUGGGCUGUGAUGAUAGCUGCCAGAAACAAGAUCUUUCCUUGGAAGUGAUCAGAUUAACCUUUAAUGGCUACACAAUCACAAAUUGAAGGGCUGUUUUUUUAUUUUUAAUUAUUAUUUUUCUUUGGCCUUCAGUUCUGAGCAGAAAUUACUAUUUUUGUUUUGCUUGAUUUUGUUUAGCUAACUCUGCUUCCUGAAUAAUUUUUCAGCCUCUCAAUUCGUUGUUUCCAGUGGAUUUUCAUUAGUACUCUGGUGAAAAAGUGUUGAUUUCACUAAGAUUUUUUUGUGAGUCCUCAAUUAGACAUAUUUUGUGAAUAAAUUCAAUAACCAAAAUUUGAUUGUCACCUGAAAAUAGGAAGUUAUUCUCAGAUGACUUUGACAUUGGCUGAGGUAAUUAUCUGGAUAAUUUUGUCAAAAUCUAGAUAGUUUUGGUAGGGUAAAUGAGACCUAAAAUUUGCCUUAUCACUCAAUCUUUCUCUUCAGGAAUGUUAUACUCACUUACAUAUUUAAACUUUUCUCUACUGAUUUUUCUAGAACCUUGUUUUUAAGAAAACUGAAGAUUGGUGUUAAUUCAAAAAACAAAGCAUUCUUUCUAGUGGCUCCAGGAUAUUUACAUGUUCCCUAAACUUUGUACACCCAUUUUCACUUAUAUGUGUCACCUACUCCAAAAAAUAAAAAAAAAACUUUAAUUCUCAGUUACUGUUCUUUACAAUAAGAUGGCCUUUAAGAGAAUAACAUCCAAUAAAGGAUCUUUUCUUCCUAGACAGAAGUUCCUUUUCCUUAUGUUUUCUGAGCUAAUGCUCUUGAUGAUGAGGAGGAAGAAGCACUUUUGAAAUGUGAAAUUUAGUUUUCUGGAGAUGGGUAACUGCAUUAAUCCCAAAUUCUCAAUUUGCUCUCAAUUUUGAGGACUCGACUCACAUUAGUUCUGUGUCAGAUACCAGGAAUCAUCACACAGGAUUAACGUCAACAUGAAAGGCACCACUUUAUUUUUGCUAAAAUGUACAAUAAUUUGUAUUUUAUUCUAAGCAUGAACCCGUUUUCUUUAGACUAUGUUCCAAAUGAAUUCUGUGUGUCAAAGCAC
rnacentral:lncRNA from 1 species